AUGGGAAGGUCAAAAAGGAACCUGAGGAGGCCGGCCUCGCCCCGCGGGCGCCCCAGCAGCCGCCCCAGCAGCCGCCCGCCCGGCCUGGCCCCCCGCGUGGAGCCCAUGGGUCUCCGGGAGGGCGCCCAGCUCGGCGCAGCCCAGCGCCCCCAGGCCUGGGAGGCCCGGCCCGCCGCCUCCCACCCGGCGCCCCCCCCCCCGGCCCCCCGCGUCCCCGCCGCCUCGCCCCUCCUGCUCCUCAGGCCCGGCUCGCCUCCUGGGACCUGCUGGGCCCCGGGACACCCGUGGGCUCCCACCUGCGGCUGCAACGUCGGGGCGCUCCUGCGUGACCUCGGCCGCCUCGGGCCUCCGUCCCCAUCUGGGAACCAUGGGUGGGACCCUGUCCCUCCGGCCACCUCCGUGGGCCCCGGCCCGUCCUGCCGCCAACCCCGCGGCUGCCUCCCCACGCACAGACCUCUGAGAACGCGCUCGGAGGGAAAAGCAGGUCACGACCACCACCACCACCACCAACACCACCACCAACACCACCACCACCACCACCAACACCACCACCAACACCAACACCAACACCACCACCACCAACACCACCACCAACACCACCACCACCACCAACACCAACACCACCACCACGACCACCAACACCACCACCAACAACAACACCAACACCAACACCACCACCACCAACACCACCAGCAACACCACCACCACUACCACCACCAACACCAACACCACCACCAGCAACACGACCACCAGCACAACCACCGACACUACUACUACCAACUCCAACAAUAUCACCACCACCACCACCACCAACAACAACAACCACGANNNNNNNNNNNNNNNNNNNNNNNNNNNNNNNNNNNNNNNNNNNCCACGACCACGACAACGACGACGACCUGGCCACCGUUUGCCCGGCUUGGCAUUCCAGGAAACCACUCGGGGAGCCUGAUGGGGGGAAGCAGAGGGAGGGGGCCACCCCCCCAGAAGGUGCUGUCGCCCUUAGGUGCUGUGGGGAGGCACAGAGAGGAGGUGGCCACGCCAGCCCCCAGGUACCCCAAGCCACCCACCCCUCAGGUCCCAGGAGAACACCCAGCAGCAGGGCUAUGGCUGUCCCGGAGUGCCCGGGCCCCUGUCCACCCACGCGAGGUCAGGGGGCUCCCCAGACAUCUGCCCCCCCGGAGCAGAGACAUGGGGGUGGCAGUUGAGGCACCAGGGCUUGAUGACAGCAAACACCCCACUAUGAGGCACCCCGGGUGCUGGAGAGACCCAGUUAGCGACUCCCUGAGCGGGUCAGCCCCAGUGAGGAGACGCUUGGGAAAGCUUCCUCCACGUGGGUGA
rnacentral:lncRNA from 12 species